rnacentral:rRNA from 1 species
GAUGAACGCUAGCGGCAGGCUUAACACAUGCAAGUCGAACGGUAACAUAUCUCGCUUGCGAGAUGAUGACGAGUGGCGCACGGGUGCGUAACGCGUAUGCAACCUACCUAUAACUAGGGAAUACCCCAGAGAAAUUUGGAUUAAUACUCUAUAAUACAUAAAAUUCGCAUGUUUUUUAUGUUAAAGAUUACGGUUAUAGAUGGGCAUGCGUGACAUUAGUUUGUUGGUAAGGUAACGGCUUACCAAGACUACGAUGUCUAGGGGUUCUGAGAGGAUUAUCCCCCACACUGGUACUGAGACACGGACCAGACUCCUACGGGAGGCAGCAGUGAGGAAUAUUGGUCAAUGGACGAAAGUCUGAACCAGCCAUGCCGCGUGAAGGAUGACGGCCCUACGGGUUGUAAACUUCUUUUAUGUAGGAAGAAACCCCCAGUCGUGCACUGGGGCUGACGGUACUGCACGAAUAAGCACCGGCUAACUCCG